rnacentral:rRNA from 1 species
CCCUUAGAUGAUUUGGGCUGCACGCGCGCUACACUGACCCUAACAAUGAGCAACUGUCUGGCCUGAGAUGGCUGGGUAGCCUUUUCAACCCAUGUCAUGAUUGGGCUAGAUUUUUGUAAGUCUUGAUCUCUAACGAGGAAUUCCUAGUAUGCGUGAAUCAUCAAUCCAUGCAGAUUAUGUCCCUGCCCUUUGUACACACCGCCCGUCGCUCCUACUGAUUGGGUGAUCCGGUGAGCUGUUCGGCCAUAGCAAUGUUUCUUGAGCAGGGCAAUGAAUGUUUCGCAAACCUUGCCACUUAGAGGAAGGAGAAGUCGUAACA